CCUACGGGUGGCAGCAGUGGGGAAUAUUGCACAAUGGGGGAAACCCUGAUGCAGCGACGCCGCGUGAGUGAAGAAGUAUUUCGGUAUGUAAAGCUCUAUCAGCAGGGAAGAAAUAAAGUCCUUCGGACUUUGGACGGUACCUGACUAAGAAGCCCCGGCUAACUACGUGCCAGCAGCCGCGGUAAUACGUAGGGGGCAAGCGUUAUCCGGAUUUACGGGUUGUAAAGGGAGCGUAGGCGGCAGCGCAAGUCUGGAGUGAAAUCCCAUGGCUUAACCAUGGAACUGCUUUGGAAACUGUGCAGCUGGAGUGCAGGAGAGGUAAGCGGAAUUCCUAGUGUAGCGGUGAAAUGCGUAGAUAUUAGGAGGAACACCAGUGGCGAAGGCGGCUUACUGGACUGUAACUGACGUUGAGGCUCGAAAGCGUGGGGAGCAAACAGGAUUAGAUACCCUUGUAGUC
rnacentral:rRNA from 1 species